rnacentral:rRNA from 1 species
GUCUCAGGCCGUAUCAGCCUGAAGGCGCCCGAUCUCGUCUGAUCUCGGAAGCUAAGCAGGGUCGGGCCUGGUUAGGAUCUUGGAUGGGGAACCACCUGGGAAUCCCGGGUGCUCGAGGCU